CGGAGCGGGGGACGGGGUGGGUCCUAAAAAGCGGAGGGAUUCACGCUAGGAAUGUGGGCUGGUAGAGCCUAUAGACUUGCAGAGGCGUUAGACGUGCCUAUUCCCGCCCUGAACGCACAUCCCACCUCUCGCCAAGCAAAUGAACUGAUUUGGGGACCUGGUUUUGAGCUGUGAGUGCACAGAUCAAAGCUCGGAGAGUUUCAUUUGUGCUAUGCCAGCAGCCCGGCUCUACCGCCCGGGUUCUGAGCAAUACCCGGCUUUGCAAGGCGCCUCUGAUAUCCCUGCGCCUGGUCUGGUCUGGCCGAGUGCCACGCAGCGGCGGAGAGCGUGCGUUAUUUUAUGCCUUAUUAUUAUUAUUAUUAUUAUUAUUAUUAUUAUUAUUAUUGGUGACAGUUGGCUAUCCCAUCCCGUCCCGCCCCGUGAUUGACGAGGGCACCAUGCUUGCCCAGCCUCGGGUCAGCUGGCUGGGUGAGGACUGCCUGGCGGCUGCGAACGCGGGAAGGGCACUGAUUCGGUUACACACGCGGAGCUCCGAGUGUGCACUGCUGCGGGUCUGUGCCAACACGUCUGCACAUUUUCGGUGCCCGCGUUCCCCCAUCUGGUCCCAGGCCUCCUGAACGGCGUGCGCCCUGGCAGAGUCGCCCUAACACCGCUGGACGGACGCGCUUGGCCAGCUCUGUGCCCACUGGCGAGGUGCGGGGGCCAAGCGGCACAGCGGCGCAGCCAGUUCCCGUGAAGUUAAAACACAGCGCGAACUCUUCAGUGCUGGAGAGUGGAUUGCAUGCCGAUCUUCCAAGGCAAGAUCCAUAAAUUCAUGUACUUAGAGUAAUUCAUGGGCUACUAGCAAGGAAUACGUUGUUUAUUCACUAAAGCAGCCCGGGUUCAGUUUUCUUCUUAGGCUAGAGGAUAGGAAGGUUUCCUAGCUGCUUUCUGGUAAUGAAAGACCCAAGAGUAACACCGCCUCCACCUGCGAGGAAAGCGAGUCCUUUCUGACCCAGAGGUAUGUGCAGUGCCAUUCCCUCCAGGCAGGGAAUUCCGAGGCGCCAGCGUCCACGCACGCGAUCGUGGGCCGAGGCGUGCUCCUGCAAGCCCCGCGAGUUCGUGUCCACCGCGACCGCCCCCCACCCCCGGACUCUUCCGGGAGAUGGGUCCUGCCUUCCCGCGGGCAGAAGGAAAGGAUGCCAGCAAAAAUGGCUAAUCCUUUCCCAGCUGCAGUAGAUUGCCGACUGGGCAAAGCCAAGGGAAAACCGCUGCAGUUAAAAUGAUUCUAGCGUCACGUCUCUGACUGCGAAUGGAGCGGCGGUGCACAAAACGACCUGUGGAUCGAUGAAUAGAAGAUUAUAGUAUACCCGAAUAUUAAUACAGUGUUGCGUCUCUGCUUCCCACCCUUUCCCCUUUUUUCUUUUUCUUCAGAUCUGCACGGGGGCAAUAAAAUGUUUUGUCUUCAAGCUGAUUCAUCAGAAUCAUGGAGCCGUGUGAAAAUGACGGUCACAGGCGUCUCCUAGCGGCGAAAACGGCAUAGAGCAAGCCGGAUCAUUUUGCUUUGGAGCUCUCCUCGAGUAUGGCUCGCCUGUUGGGGGCUCUGCUGGAUUUCUUGGGUCACCGAAGUCUGUGUCCGCGCCAGCGACGCCAGCCCAGGGGCUUCCAAAGAUCUACUCUCGUUGACUGUUAGUCUCUGUGGCGCCAGCCCAUAGCCGUAAUGGUGGGGUCUUCAAGGGAAUGACCGGAGCCCAGCCUCCCCCACCACUCCCUGCGAGGCACUCUCCUAUGACCGUUGCAGAAGCGUUUUAUUUGAAGCCCAGAUUUAGAUACCGACAUUAACAACCCUUUCUGCCUCCUUACUUUUGAGGCAUUAACAUAACCCACAUAACAACCCUGUCACCCACAAAGCAAAUCAAUUUAAAUUUGCAUUUUAAAAAUUAUUUUAAAAAUCUUUUUAAAAAUACAGCAGGUGUACAUUCUCUAUGGCUGUGGGGCCCAGCAGCUCCUCCCCACUCCCCCCGCCCCACUUUCCUACUCUUAGACCCUAGAAUUUCAGAAUUGAGAGGAUUCCUGGAGUCACAUACAGCACCCUGAGUAGGGAGGUCGAUGAGCUGCUUGAAUGGGUAGAGUUUCAAAUAUAUCCUGCGUUUGCAGGAAGUGGAAAGGGAGAAGUAAAUAUACGCAUAAUCCUUCCCUCCCACACCCCCUCGCACCAGGAGCUCCAGCCUUCUGAGUCAACAGACUGCAUCCCAGGACAAGGCGGAAAACAAGGCUGCAUCAUGUGGACAAAGAUUAUAAAAAUCAGUUUUCAUAAAAGUCUUGGUUUAUAUAUGAGAGUGAUAAUGUACAUUCGUCUAUAUUGGGGGGGGGCUCUAAGUGGAGCAGAAAUAAGGGACCAUUAAGGUUCUUCCAGUACAUUUUACCAACUUUGAAACGAGGUUAUGAGGUUGCUUUCUUUUCUCUACCCUUUGCUGAAAAGGGCGGAAGGGAAACAAGUGUGUUAACCAGCUUGUGGAUAAAUGAGUGUUUGCAGUGAUUUAACACGACUCAAAAGCAAUUUGUUUCUAAAUCCUCUUAUUAUUGCAGUGUGCCCAGAGCUUUGAGAGAAUAAGCUUUUUACCCCUUCUUUUAAAGAAUUGGAAGGCAAAUUUUUAAUUUAUUAAUAAGAAGCGUUUCAAACUCCAGAGUGGACCAAGAUUGAGUUAGAUGGUUCCUGGUGCUUCCCAUUUCCAGCAGGUGUACCUCAACGUUCAAAUGCCAAAGACCCAGAUGGACUGUGUGUCCUAUGUGUGACCAUGAAAUGGGUUUACUCGUGGUAAUGUAACCCAGCUUAACUGGAGAAAAAGGAAAGUUUUGGAGUCACACAAAGCCAGUGUGUUAGCUUAUGUUUAUCUGCAGAAAGAGUGAAUAACAACUCGAAUUCCUGGGAAACUUUUAUAACAUAUGCUCUUAUAACUAUUCAGGUAACCUAGUUACUGUGUUAUAAUGUUUUGUAUCCCAUAAAGAACAAUCUUUUUUGAACUGAGAAUAUUAGAUAUUCCAUUAAGUACCAUUGUUUUGGUGUUCAAAGUAGAAAUUAUUCAAAGCAGAAAUGUGCCUCUCCAUUUUGUUUAACCUAGCUGAUAUUGGUGUGGCUUCACGUUUCAGUGUCUUCUCAGUGAUCAAACAGGGCCAGCAUUUUGUUAAACUCUAAACAGUGAAUUAAAAGCACUGAAUGAGCUGAAGCAGCCCUCUAAUGCAAAAUGACAAAUUGCACUUAAGCAGUACAUGAACAAGAAAAUGAUUUAUGGAUUUUUACAAUGGCCUGUGCAAAUGAAAGCAACAUGAAUUAUACAUCCUAAUGUUCACGAUGUCAUUUUCUAAUAAUACUGUUUCAUUUGAGAUACUAUAUCCCUUUCAACAGAAGUUGACCAAUGAAAGGUCCAGAAAUAUUUUUAAAAUAGGAAAUGGCUUUGACAAGGAUUCUGUGUGCAUUUGUGUAUGUAUAUAGUAUAUAUUUGUAAUUAUAUGCAUAAUAGAUGUGUGUGUGUGUGUGUGUGUGUGUGUGUGUGUAUUUUCCCUGGGUAUUGGGAUGAGAUGAGUAAUUAAUACUGAAUACAUACUUGUGCCAGAUCCUUUACAUAUCAUAUUUUUAUAGUAAGUUGUCUCUUGAAAACAUAGUUGUUCCACACCAUCUUUCAGAAUUCAAAUGAGUUAGAAUGCCAGUCUUUAAUGGCUAAUGACCUCUAUUUCCUGAAAACCACAAUGCAUUACCUCCUCUUACCAUUUCUCCCAUUGCUUUAGAUAUUGAAAAUCUUAUUUCUCAAAUAUGCCUUUUAAUUGUUUCAUAUUUUGUUUAACUAUUCUUUUCAAAAUUUUUCAUUCCUUAGUGUAUUAAAAAUACACGGGUUAAUAAAAAGGUUGUACAACUUCUUUUCUCUCCUCUUCCCACUUUUCUUUUACCUUUACUUUUUUACCUUUAGUAGACAAAAAGUAUCCUAUGGGGUGUCUUUAAUUAAAAAAAGUCAGUCUAAUAAAAUGUAUGUGAUGCUUGUGUUGUAAACUAGAAAAAUACAAAAAUGUAGUUAUUGCUGUUAUAAAAAGCACUUCUAAUAUUUUUAUGUAGCCAUUUGUAGUUUAUACAGUGGGUGUUUUUCAGAAAUAUGUACAAUUCUAAGUGAAGGUAAUACCUUUACUGUGUUGCAUAUUUGACCACAGGAAAAUGCUCAUCACCCAGAGGCCUCUUGAGCCGCAUUAUGAAGCUUAAUAUUAAUUAUCCAGUUUUAUAAAAAAAAGAAAAAGUGAAUCCUAGUUUCAACUUUGACAGCAUUAAUAACCACUCUUACUGAAAGAUACUGGAAUCGGUGAUGUGAUUAGGAUUGUAAAUGAGACCUGCAAGACAUUUAAAAAGCCAGCUGCUUUGCUAACAGGGAGAGGUGGUGAGUUUUACUGAUGGAGCCCAGGGUAGAAAAUGAAGCUUGAGACAUCGAGCUCGAUAUAGAACAAUUUCAAAAAUUAAUUGCAAGUCCUGAUUAACUUUAUUUGAGUAGAAAGAACUUGUCCAAAGGUUUUUUGUUUUUUUUUUUUUUUUCCUUCCCCAGUGGUUUCACUUCUUAUCUGACAGUUAUCCAAAGCCAAUGUAGUAUUAGUGUUUGUCUGGCAAGUGUAAAUUGUUUCCUUAAAGGAAGACCCUUGGUUUCUAAUACAGAAUUAGAUUGUCCAAAUUGUAACUGAAGUUACAAGCCAUACCAGUUUAUAACACAAGUUGUAUUAAGAGUUUUAAAAUAUAAUUGGAGACAAGCACUAUGGAAAGAAUGUCAAACAUAAAUUGAAAAUUGCAUUAGUGAUUAGAAUUAAAUUAGAAUUAUGACAGGAAAUUACAACAAACAAUAAAUAGGUCCUUCAGUUUAGAAAAAUCGCUUUUUUAUUGUUCAGAUAUACAGCUCUUUGUGUAAGAAAUUUGAUUUUCAAGGUACUUUAUAGAAAUGAACUUAUAAUAUCAUAGUAUAAAUGUUUUAUUGCAAUUUUAGGUGAAAGUAACCAGUGGUCUUAAACUACUAUAUGUCAAGAAUUCUUUUAUGUUAUGAUACUUGAUUUUUCUUAUGCCUAUAAAUAUUGUGUCAACAUUAUAGACAAGGGCACAACUAAUGUUUGGAAUGAAAGUAACUCAUCAGAUUCAUACAAGAUUCAAAUCCAGGCCUUUUGGUGUUCCUGUUCAAAUUCUUUUUAUUACACUAUGAUGUUUCCUGAGUCUAUCUGAAUGGACAGUGAGUUGAUGUAGACAUGUGAUCCAUCUGCAUUUUUGCACUGAUAGGAGUACUGAUUUUUCUUAUCGUCAAAAUUGGCUAGAACACCACUAACUUGUGUCUCCAAGGAUUUCAUAAACAUGUUUUAUGUUUAAAGCUUUAUUUUCCUUUUUUGAGGUUAUUAUCAACGUACUGAAGCUUGAAGAUGGUUUCUUACCAGAGAGUGAGGCUAUAAGCAGUCGUGUCUUUCUUGUGCAGAACUACCUGACAUGAGAAGCAUAACCUUUAAUAAAAGAACAAGGAAACGGAUAAAACAAACAUGACUAAAGGAAGGCAGUUAUGUUUCAUCCAUAUCUGCAAAUCGUGGUGUUGAUCAGUGGUCUCAAAAGUACUUGUAACUUCUCUAAGUUCAUCAGGGGGUAAAAGGAAAGAGAAGCAAAAGUAUUGUCACUUUCAACAAUGCAAAUACCAGAGUUUAAUCUUCUGUACAUUUCUAAACUACUCUUUAAAAGGUGAAGUAGUUUUGUUGAGUGAACCUGCUUAUCAUUUUAUAUUAAUUUCUUCUUCAAUCGUGGUUUAAAUUGGCAAGUUUUGUAACGUGAACACAUAUAUUUAAAAUUCUCAGAAAUUUAGAAAAGUUAAAUAUAUGUAUCAUGGGGAAAAAUGGAACACAACAACUUUGAAUUAAUUUUAAAUUUGGGAAGAAAUAAUCAUAAGAAGAUGAUAAUGACACUAUAAUUACUCAUCAUAAGUAAAAUUUGAUUUAAUCUUUUGGCAGUAAAAACUAAUGGAAAAAGAUUUCUUCGACAGAUAUACUCAGUAAUUCAGAAUAUAUCUAAUGUCAUCUCAAUAGGUAACUUACAAAUCUUUCUUCUGAAACCACUCAACGGAGAUAGGAGAUGAUAUUAUAAGUUAUGAAGACCGUAAACUUGAGAAUUAAACAAAACUGGGCUUCAUUUUUGCUUCUCCAAAUAUUUGAAUAUGGACAAAUUAUUUAACUUCUUUGGAACCCUGAUAGAAUGUGCCAUGUAUUCCAAACAUCUGCACAAAUGUAAUGGUAUAUUGAACUUGUUAAGUCAUUGUGAGGUUUAAACUGCAAUGAUCUCUGUGAAAUUCUUUGUCUACAGUGUAAGCUCAGCAAAUUUAACUAUUAGCUUACAAAAUGUUUUUAAUGAGGUCCUUAAAUGAGCUUUAUUGAGAAUAAACGGCAUUGAUUUUCUUGGUGGUUUUACUGCUUUUAUCCACACAAAGUAUUUACUAGCAGAUAUAAGAACAAUUUAAGAUUUUCCCUAUUUUACAGGAAAUUAUAUUAGUUUUAAGACUAAAUGUAAAUAAUAAACAAAAAAGACUAAACUAAUUAUAGGCUUAAAACCAUAAAAGCCAAUUUUGAUCUUUUCUUAUAAUCAUAUUGUUAUAUAUUUAACUUUUAUUUGCUAUGAAUUUUAGAAAUUUAGUGGUCAAAAUUUAUGUGAUAAACCAAUAAACAGAUGAAAUUUAAAAAUGGUUGAGAUAGGAAGCUAAUUCUUUAACUUCAAAUACCAUAUUCUUAUGUCUGUAUUUGUCAAAACUUUAGAAUUAAUGGAUUAAUUAAUUAAUUGAUGUUCAUUUAUUUUUCUUCCAGUUCUUUAAGGUAACAUUUGUGUUUAUGCUGACUAGAAGUAACAUUCUCAAAUUUAAAAACAAAUUGGAUAAAAUCAGUCACUUGAAAAUAAGAUGAGUGCAUUAGGGUGUCAGGGUCUGAACAUGAAGCCGCAGUUGUGUUUGACUUUCUCUUCAGAAUAAUCUUCGCAGUGUUCGGCCUGUGCUGGUCUUCUCAGCCUUCUCUACCAGCUUUUUACAGCUGAAAAGUGACAACUUUCCAAUGCAUGCUUUGUUGCUGAAGUGACAGGAGCCCAGCCAUAGGAAUACUGAGAGUGGAAAGCAAAUCAGGGUCACUGUUCAGGGUAGUGUGUUUCUCAAAGAUGUCACAUCAGUUUCAUAAGGAACGCAUUCACUGAGCAAAGGUUUUAAUAACUUCAGUAAUAAGAAGAGAUAGUAUUUCAGGAAACAAUGACUGUGAAUGUAAAUACGUGGAGCUUAAAUGAAGGAUGUGAAUGAAAUACAAUAAGCAAAUAUUUCUAGAGCAUUGCAAGUUUUGUUGUGGUUUUAAUGGCAAUGGCAGCAGAUAUUGAUGGAAAGAAGUAUCAGGAAGACUUGAACCAUAAAAAUAUGGAAAUGAGGCAACAAGUUUUCUACAGAUAUCAUAGAAACAGCAAAUCAAUGUUCUCACUUAGACCCAAUAUCCUGUCUUGACCCAGUAUUUUAAAUCUUAUCGCCGGCCAUUAUCCUCUGUUGAUUUACUGUUUAUUUUCACUCUCAGCGUAGCCAAACUUAAAGUCAAAGGAGAUAGGUGAGGUCCUCAUUCAGCUUUCAGACUUGAAUAACAGCUUUGGUGUAUCGUGGGCCAGCAGCCAGGGUUCAGUCUUAGGGGUUUGAUAAAACCUAAUAUUAUCAUUUUCUUACCAAUAUGUUGGAGAUAGUUAACUGCUGCUAAUAAAGUGCCUGCUGCUCAUUUUCUCCAGCCAUUUAUAUAUCUGAACCUUCAUAUAGCCACACUUUGUAACCAGUUAUCUAAUGCAGCUAGAAUACAUGUACAUUCUGCUGAACAAGACAAGUAAUGAAGUAUUGUUUAUUUGAAAAAAAAAUGUGUAAUGGGUUCUUUAGACUCAUGGAAACUGUCAUUCAGUUGAAUGGUUGCUUUAUUUUCUUGGAUUUUUUUGACCAUAUAAGCAGUACUUUGUGAAGAUUUGCUGAGUGAACAGAUAUUUAACUUUUUAAUUUUCUACUACUAUUAAUCUUAAAAGAUAAUUUCUGGGAUAUUAUACUCAAUUCCCCAAACUGUGUUUUUAAUGAUAUAUAUUUAGGAAAUGUCUUUUUAACUUAGCUAUUUCAAAGAAACCUUACAUAAUGGAAAAUUCUCUGUGUAUUACUACAAAAGUGUUAAAACACUUUACCUCUCACAACUUUCUAUUAAAAUAUAACUCACUAGACUACGGUUACUCAAAAGUGACACUUUGUUUUAUAAUUUUCCUUCUUUUUUUCUUAUUUCAUGUAUACAAUUUUUAAUGGCUAAAUAUGGCUAAGACAGAUACCAUACUCAGUGUUCUGAAUUGUUUUUCUCUUUUUAUAAGGUCAUGAUAAUAUUCUAAGCAUGAUGCCUUGCUAGGAAAGCAUUUCUUUCAGAUUGAAAUGUCAGAUAUUAAGAGUACCUAUGAUAGUAAGCAUUCUAUGGUAAGACAGGAUGUUUGCUAACUGACUUGGAAUUGGGAAGUAUAAUUUUGAAACACGUUGGAGGGCUAUGUCAAAUGGAAAGAGCUGAUUGUAGAUUCAAAAUGAUGUUUGGAAUUUAAAGCCAAAAGAUACAGUCUCACUGCUAACUUCUCUUUUCCUCAUUCUUCUUAAUUAGAGAUAUUUUUGCUCAGAAAGGUGCUGUGGUCAUUGUGAUAUAUUUUAAUUUUUUUUUCUCUUGAGUUGAUGGAGAGCCAUAACUUCUUUAUUCUGUAACUAAAUGACUCACAUUGUUUGCAGUGUUGAUGUUAAGAAGUUUAGGAAUACCUUGGAAUUUUGGCUAGUGAUUAUUUAUACAUGUAGGAUUGAGAGUAAUCUUGUGACACUUUUCACAGGCCAAGAGAGUUUAGGUUAUUAGGCAAGAAUGAAAAGAUUAAAGUGGAAUAGAAAAUACAUGUGCACCCACACAAUAACAUAUACCUGGUGGGAUUUCGGAGAACAUGGCGUACAGAUAGCAGCAGCUACAGAGGCUGUCUGAGAGACCCAGCUUAGAAUCCAGGAAUGGUGCGGAGUAAGGAAUCCUAAGCAGGAGGAGAUAUGCCCUGCUGACCCAAGAAUGAACUGGGCUGAGAGAAACCAACUGGGAAUGCAAUCCUGGUGCUAUAACAAGAACAGAAAAGCCUCAGUGUGGAAGCUGGAGCCUGCGCGAUUGGAUGCCGCAAUUUGGGUUUCCCACUGCCGCUGCUGUGUCUACAUCGUCUUCGCAGGGAGAGAGACAUGCAAAAGCCCUGAGAACGGGAAUCGGUGAAUGGAGUUGAAAGCAGGAUGGGCCGGGAGCUGUGCAUUGACCUGCAGUGAGUGAGAGAAACUGGGACUCUCCCAUGGUCUAGGAGACUCCAACAGAGGACAUUCUGGGACCUGGCAGACUUGCAGGAACAGGGUGCUGUAGUGACUUCCGUCAUGUAUCCCCCUCUCAAUCGGGAUUGGUGAGCAGUGCCUAGCCUACGUGACGCUGCUGGCUGAGAACCAGUAAGCUAGCACAACCCAGGUUCCAGUGCCUGAAGGUGACCUGGAGGGGCCGGCUGCCUGGUCUGCAACUUCCUGGUGUGCUGCGGUGGGCGGGAACACCUCACCAGCACAAUUCAAUCAGACUGUGGCUGACAGGCAAGGAAGCUGGGCCUCCUGUAUAUGCUUGCAUAUAUAAGGAACAAAGAAUAUGGGAAGAGGGAGUAACAAGAAAGGCUCCUUGGCCCCCAAUCCUGAGAAAGAGGCAAUAGCAGACACAGCACCAAUAGAUAUAAAGCGCUAUCUGCAGAGCCUCAUAGAUGAGUUCAGGAAUGAAGUAAUUAAUGACCUGAAGCUAGAAAUAAGCAGAAUAGUUAGAGAAAUGCUAAGCACCACCCAAGAAAAAACAGAUGGUGGAAUGGAAGAACAGAAAAAGAGGGGAGAAUUAUUUGAUGGAGAAAAUAGAGAAAGCAUAGAAUGCAUGAAGCAGGUUCAAAGAGAUUACCAGGAAACUAAAAACUCUAUCAAAAACUGGGAUAACAGUUUGAAAGAAACUAAGGACAGAUUAUCUGAACUGGAGGGCAGAUUUUUAAUAUGGGAGCAUGAAAUGAAAAACUUCUUAAAGAUAACAAAGAAAAAAACAGCAAUAAUACAAAGACUAGAAGAUGAUAAGAGGAUCUAUAACUUAAGAAUUAAGAACAUAGAAGAAGUAGGGACACAAACAAAUGAACUACAAAAGCUACUCACAGAAAUAAUGCAGGAGAAUUUUCCUAAUUUAGCAAAA